AGUCUCCCUUCCAAAGGAAUGUUUUUAAUACAAUUGAAUUUUUUUAUCCAUAAAAGUGGCUCCUUCGGGCAAAUCCAGUACCGUCUGAAAAUGGCUAUUGAGGGGCUCGUGCCCUCAAAAUCAUUUUAGGCGCUCUCAAAAUAACUACGAGUAAUCUAAGAGACUAAUUUAGUAAGCACCCUGCUAAAUCUGAAGUAGCAGUCAGGUUCUGUGAUCUAGCCCUAGCUCUAAACAAUGUCGAAUUUUACAUUGGUUUGGGACAUUUUCUGAUCCUAAAUCUUAACCGGCCGGUGGGUUGUUAAGCACUUGAGCACCCAAAGUCAUGAUUAAUCAACAGUGCACAGGGUUUAUUUUUAGGGAAGCUUAUCCCCAAACCCUGUAAAUGUUCUCUCUACCUCCUGCAAUUACAUCAUUGCAAUGCCUAGAUCCUAUAUAUAUUUCUCUUAUUCCUCUCCUUUCCUAAGGCUUCAAGUAAUUGCAUUUUUGUGCUUAGGAAUUGUAUUUUGAGCUCCAUUAAAGCAAUGUCUCAGACUAGUCGUUUCCAACUUGAUGGGAUUUACAGCUUUUCAAAGCAGAAAACAGAGGUCGAGGGACUGAAGGAAAAGGUGCCAGGGAUUGAGAAGGUUGAAUUGGGCAAAGAUAAAGUGGUUAAAUUCGUGCAUAAUCCCAGUAUAGCUGUUGCACAAAUAAGAAAAGCUCUGGAAGAUAUGCAUUUGCGUCCCAAUGAUGAUCGAAAUACAAAGAACUGAUGAUGGAUGGAUCGGCCAUAUCUGAUGGGUAGGGCUACUGUUUCAGUCAUGAAAUAAACAAAUCCGUCCAAUGAUUCAUGUUUCCUUUCGUUUUAAUGUAAUGACAGUAUAUCAAUGAAUCUCAAGAAGCUAAACAGGCAGCAUGGAUGUAAUGAUGUUUGCUAAGUAUGUAAUAAUAGAGCAGUUGAGUUUAAAAUUUAUUUAUUUUUCUUUCUAUUGUGAGUUGAAAGUCCAAAAUUUUAUCCACCAGCACACGCUCGGCACGCGAAUCUAGGCGGCCGUGACCGAAUCUUGUUUUUUGUCAUAUAUGCUUACGUGUUCAAAGAAUGUAACAAUUAUUAGAUUCAGAUUCCAUGUGCUGACUGGGUUUCCAGAUUUUUUUGAGAGUACCUAAUGAUUUGAUAAUAACACGCUCCUGAAAAGUCGCGUGGUCGGUUUGCUCAGCCAAUAAGA